rnacentral:rRNA from 1 species
UACGUAGGUGGCAAGCGUUGUCCGGAUUUACUGGGUGUAAAGGGCGUGUAGCCGGGCUGACAAGUCAGAUGUGAAAUUCCGGGGCUCAACCCCGGACCUGCAUUUGAAACUGUUGGUCUUGGGUAUCGGAGAGGCAGGCGGAAUUCCUAGUGUAGCGGUGAAAUGCGUAGAUAUUAGGAGGAACACCAGUGGCGAAGGCGGCCUGCUGGACGACAACUGACGGUGAGGCGCGAAAGCGUGGGGAGCAAACAGG